rnacentral:rRNA from 1 species
GGCUCAGGAUGAACGCUGGCGGCGUGCUUUAACACAUGCAAGUCGAACGAAGCAUUUAAGACAGAUUUCUUCGGAAUGAAGUUUUUUAUGACUGAGUGGCGGACGGGUGAGUAACGCGUGGGUAACCUGCCUUAUACAGGGGGAUAACAGUUGGAAACGACUGCUAAUACCGCAUAAGCGCACGGUAUCGCAUGAUACAGUGUGAAAAACUCCGGUGGUAUAAGAUGGACCCGCGUCUGAUUAGCUUGUUGGUGAGGUAACGGCCCACCAAGGCGACGAUCAGUAGCCGGCCUGAGAGGGUGAACGGCCACAUUGGGACUGAGACACGGCCCAGACUCCUACGGGAGGCAGCAGUGGGGAAUAUUGCACAAUGGAGGAAACUCUGAUGCAGCGACGCCGCGUGAGCGAAGAAGUAUUUCGGUAUGUAAAGCUCUGUCAGCAGGGAAGAUAAUGACGGUACCUGACCAAGAAGCCCCGGCUAACUACGUG